rnacentral:rRNA from 1 species
UACGUAGGGUGCAAGCGUUGUCCGGAAUUAUUGGGCGUAAAGAGCUCGUAGGCGGUCUGUCGCGUCGGAUGUGAAAACCCAGGGCUCAACCCUGGGCCUGCAUUCGAUACGGGCAGACUAGAGUUCGGUAGGGGAGACUGGAAUUCCUGGUGUAGCGGUGAAAUGCGCAGAUAUCAGGAGGAACACCGGUGGCGAAGGCGGGUCUCUGGGCCGAAACUGACGCUGAGGAGCGAAAGCGUGGGGAGCGAACAGG